rnacentral:rRNA from 1 species
UUAAAGGUAAGUUCGGACGGGGCCCGCACAAGCGGUGGAGCAUGUGGUUUAAUUCGACGCAACGCGAAGAACCUUACCUGGGUUUGACAUCCCGAUCGUACUCUAUGGAAACAUAGGGGUCAGUUCGGCUGGAUCGGUGACAGGUGCUGCAUGGCUGUCGUCAGCUCGUGUCGUGGGAUGUUGGGUUAAGUCCCGCAACGAGCGCAACCCUUGUCCUUAGUUGCCACCAUUCAGUUGGGCACUCUAAGGAGACUGCCGGUGUUAAACCGGAGGAAGGUGGGGAUGACGUCAAGUCCUCAUGGCCCUUAUAUCCAGGGCUACACACGUGCUACAAUGGCCGGUACAAAGGGUCGCAAUACCGCGAGGUGGAGCUAAUCCCAAAAAGCCGGUCUCAGUUCGGAUUGGAGUCUGCAACUCGACUCCAUGAAGUCGGAAUCGCUAGUAAUCGCGUAUCAGCGUGACGCGGUGAAUACGUUCCCGGGCCUU